UACGAAGGGGGCUAGCGUUGCUCGGAAUCACUGGGCGUAAAGGGUGCGUAGGCGGGUCUUUAAGUCAGGGGUGAAAUCCUGGAGCUCAACUCCAGAACUGCCUUUGAUACUGGAGAGCUCGAGUCCGGGAGAGGUGAGUGGAACUCCGAGUGUAGAGGUGAAAUUCGUAGAUAUUCGGAAGAACACCAGUGGCGAAGGCGGCUCACUGGCCCGGUACUGACGCUGAGGUGCGAAAGCGUGGGGAGCAAACAGG
rnacentral:rRNA from 1 species